rnacentral:lncRNA from 1 species
AAUUUCAGUUCAGAUAUUACAAGGACAAGUACAGUAUAUUUCCAUUCUGAACUUGAUAGAUGGCAUCAAAGAUUGGCUUUUCAAAUUUAGCCACUGUUAAUUGUGUUCUAAACGUUAAGCUUAUGAACCGGCACACUUCUUAGCUAGCCAAGUUGAUAAUUUUAUUUCUCUGGUUAUGUUUAUCCUUCAUGGCUAACUAAAUAAAAUUUGUACUUUGAUUAUUUUUUUUAUUUUUUUUUGAUAAACCCUAUCGGCUGAUCUGGUUGGCCCCGGGAGGAACGCAAUUAGUGCUACAGAGUGGGCUGCCUGACCCGAGUUUGAAAUACCUUUUGACUAAUGUCAAGGGGUGAAUCGAUCAUCUGUUACGAUCCACCAUGUAAACCACUUGAGCCAAAAUCCAAACUCAGACUGACCAAGUAAAGAUAAUUUAGUUCUAAAUUGAUUCGAGAACUGAUAUGGGUAUACACUAGACCCUAAAAGAUUGUACUUUGAUUAUGUUAUACCUAUUUAUUAUAGAUGUCUUUUUGGAAAAAGAAAG